GCUGAAAUCUCCGAAACAGGCCGUAAGGAUCCGCCUCGAAGAACCGUAUCCACCGCCGCCUGACAGAUAUGCCAGUUCCCACUGGAUAACAGCCCUACCGCUCCGUUCACCGGAUUCACGGUACGACCACAUGCCUCGAACAAUAAAGACUGAAACAAAGCUAACAAAAUUCCAAAAAAACAAAAACACUCUUAAAUAUACGUAAAGAAUCAAAUCAGAAAUUCGAUAACGUAAAUAGAAAAUGAAGUAUUCUUGUAAAAAUUACCAGGGCGUUGGGAUUCAGGUACAGAAGAGAUAAGAGAAAGUAAGUCACUACGGCCGAAAAACUUGGCGAGAAAUAAGGUGGCGUUGCCUUGGGCUUCGGGGGAUUCGAUCCAACGUAAGCUUGAC
rnacentral:lncRNA from 1 species